rnacentral:lncRNA from 1 species
CUUCUCCAGAUUCAGUUGCAAGGUAGAUCUACAUUUUGCUUCUCAAUCAUUUUCUCUUCAAAUUCGUUAGAAUCAAUCCACCAUAUGUGAUGAGUGUUCAUGUUCGCUAAAGAUAGGUGUAGUUUAACGGGUAAGAGAGUGGGUUCCAACCGGAUAUGGUUUUUAGAUUUGACUGUAUGAUCUGAAUCUGGAUUUUGUACAGUGAUAGCAGCAUUGCAUCAAUGGCAUCUUUGCAGAAGUCAGCAGGAUGCUAUCAGGAGCAGCAGCAAUCAGCUCAAUCUGAUGAGCAAAGCCACCAGCAAAGUGAACAACACAAUGGCAACAACCUUAACAUGGUGAAUCAAACAUUCUCAUCCCAGGUUCCAAUCCAGCAGCAGUUUCAAGAAGGCAUGGCUUACACAUUCAUAGAUCAACAACAACAACAGCAGCAGCAACAGGUCCAUUUCAUAAAAUCGGGACCCAGUGGGCAGCUAAUGCAGUCAUACUACCACCAACCAGUUUACACUCAUCCACCAGUACCGCAACAGCAGCAGUAUUAUGUAGUGGCUGCUGGUUCCC